rnacentral:rRNA from 1 species
CCUUGAAAUACCACCCUUUAAUGUUUGAUGUUCUAACGUUGGCCCCUGAUCGGGGUUGCGGACAGUGUCUGGUGGGUAGUUUGACUGGGGCGGUCUCCUCCUAAAGAGUAACGGAGGAGCACGAAGGUUGGCUAAUCCUGGUCGGACAUCAGGAGGUUAGUGCAAUGGCAUAAGCCAGCUUGACUGCGAGCGUGACGGCGCGAGCAGGUGCGAAAGCAGGUCAUAGUGAUCCGGUGGUUCUGAAUGGAAGGGCCAUCGCUCAACGGAUAAAAGGUACUCCGGGGAUAACAGGCUGAUACCGCCCAAGAGUUCAUAUCGACGGCGGUGUUUGGCACCUCGAUGUCGGCUCAUCACAUCCUGGGGCUGAAGUAGGUCCCAAGGGUAUGGCUGUUCGCCAUUUAAAGUGGUACGCGAGCUGGGUUUAGAACGUCGUGAGACAGUUCGGUCCCUAUCUGCCGUGGGCGCUGGAGAACUGAGGGGGGCUGCUCCUAGUACGAGAGGACCGGAGUGGACGCAUCACUGGUGUUCGGGUUGUCAUGCCAAUGGCACUGCCCGGUAGCUAAAUGCGGAAGAGAUAAGUGCUGAAAGCAUCUAAGCACGAAACUUGCCCCGAGAUGAGUUCUCCCUGAGACUUUAAGUCUCCUGAAGGAACGUU